rnacentral:rRNA from 1 species
UACGUAGGGUGCAAGCGUUGUCCGGAAUUAUUGGGCGUAAAGAGCUCGUAGGCGGUCUGUCGCGUCGGCUGUGAAAACUCGGGCUCAACCCGAGCCUGCAGUCGAUACGGCAGGCUCGAGUUCGGUAGGGGAGACUGGAAUUCCUGGUGUAGUGGUGAAAUGCGUAGAGAUCGGCAGGAACACCCAGGGGGAAACCAGCCGACUGGGCAAGUGCUGACGCUGAGGUGCGAGAGCGUGGGAGCGAACCGG